rnacentral:lncRNA from 1 species
UAACCCGCGCGAAACAACUCCAUUGCCGAUCAUCGGAGAAGAGAAUUCCCAUGAAAAAACUGUUCGAUAUACGAGUGUCAAGCUUCUCCGGCCAAGUGAUACAUUAGUUCUUGGCCAGGCUUAUCGGCUUGUCACCACACAAGGUUGGUGCUCUUCCAACUUCUUCCUCAAUUCUUUCAUUAUUUUAAGAAAACUCACUAACAGUGACACAUAUUUUUUCUUACUUUUUAGGAAAACAACUAAUAAUCGGGUUUUUUUAAUGCUAGUUAAUAGGCUUAUUUUUAAUUAAACCUUGCUAUUUUGAGAUUGAAAGUUUUGAGUUAUAAAUUGAUUUUGUUGCAGAGGUUAUGAAAGUGCUGAGAUCAAAGAAAAAUGCAAAGAUGAAGAAAAACUUGUCAGAAUCAAUUGCCAAUUUGAAGAUGAAUUUGCUAAAGCUGUUGAUGGUGUUGGAAUGGUGACGGUGGUGGUGCGGCACUUGGUUGUUGAUGGUGUUGGAGGGGUGAUGGUGGUGCUAUGGUUGCAGAAGCGCCUCGUGCAGUAAAUGGUGGUGGCGGUUAGGCGAUGGUUUACAUGUUUUGCAAGGGGUUUUUGUUGGUGGCGUCGUGGGUUUUGUUUGGUUGGUUCAAAGAGUGUUGUUUUGUUAUGUGCUUUGUUGGGGGCAGUGGUGAUGCUGGUGGUGGCGGCGGCGUGGUCGGUGGUUGUGCGGUGGUGUUGUGUGGUGUGGUGCAGCUAUUAGUUAUGUUUUGGUGGUCGUUUUUGUUGUUGGCGAUGGUCGUGGUGGUGUUGUGGUGGGGUCGGGGUAUAGUAGGAGGAAAUGGUGAUCGUGACAAACUAUUUGGUUGCUCUGUGACCAAACAUUGGUGGUGAAUUGGGAUUGAGAUUGGAGUGUUUGGUAUAUGUGACCAACGAUUUGGUUUGUGACCUUAAAAUUUAAUAAUAUGUGACUUCAACGAUUUGGUCCGCGACUUUUGGACUAAAACAUACAUGUGACCUAUAAAACUUUUUAUCUGUGACGUCGAAAUUAUCUGUGACCUAUCAAAAUUUUGAUUUGUGACGUCGAAAAAAUUUGUGACCAAUUAAUUUGAUUGUACGUGACCAGUA